CCUCUGCUGGCUCAGAUGGUAAAGCGUCUGCCUACAAUGCAGGAGACCCAGGUUCGAUCCCUGGGUUGGGAA
rnacentral:tRNA from 1 species